UCUGGCUACAAAGACGGCGUCAAACCAGAAAAGAUUGCUCGUGGUCAAAUAAUGUGUCAAUCACCUGUGAAUCAAACUGUGUGUGGCUCAGUUCAUGUCACAGUGUUGUUUAGUAUAUCUUCACUUGUCUCACUCUCCUUCUGUUCUGUCCAUCAGGACGAUCCUCAGCGCUUACACAGAUCCUCCAUCGAUGUUUUGGAUCCAAUCAGUGAUCAGUUCUACGAGGAGGCCUGGAUGUUCACCAGCGCUCGCUACACCUCCAUCUACCAGAAGGUUUUCCACUGUCGGCCAUCCAGCGAUGCUGGAGGGCUACCUGGCCAAUGCUGGCCUACACAAAGAGGUCCCAGCUCGGAGGAGCUGAAGAAGAUCCUUGCCUUCCUCGUCAGUUUCCUCUUCAGUUCCUAUCCCAACAAAACCUUCUUGCACCUAUUAGCUCCAAAGAGGCUAUGGUGCCCGUGGAGGUCUGGACCUGAGGCCUGUGCUCAUCACGUGGAUAGAAAACACUCUGACACCAUUCUGGAGGUCUGAUGGGACUCUGACCAAAACACAGAUGAAAUAAAACUUGUGGCUGGAGCUUUUAAAAUGACUUUUUCACCUCAUAGAUUAAUGCUCAUGAUUGCAUGUUAGCAAGACAGCAUCUCCCCAAGGUGAAACUCUCAGGAGACAUUUACUCUUAAACUGUAAUCUGGUUGAGACUACUUGAGGAGAUCUUAGUAGCGAGUAUGUGGAUUUAGUCUCUUCACCAACAGCAGACAGACCCAUGCCAAGAAAGCAGACAUGUUCUCAAAGAAAGCCGAGAGCAGAGAUUGGAAAAAGCUAAAAAGAAAAAGCUGCAGCUUCAGACGACUAUCUGCCUAUGUUGACUGUGACCUCAGAGGCCAACUGGACCACACAGCUGCAGCAGGAGUGAGGGAGAGGAGUCUUCAUCCAGCUUCAAAGAAAACAUCCAGUUAGAAACCCUGCAGCAACCCGACCCAAAACUGUGUCUUCUUGUUGGCCUCAACGUUGAAGUGUCAAACGUCCAACAUCUGGAAAGGAAACCACGCCAGUGUACUGUGAUGUUUCACCAACAUGUGGCAGACGCUGGUCCUGCCUUUCAUGCUGACAUCAGCAGAGAGCCCCGCCUACCUCAAAGCCUCCCCUGUCAUGUAUUGAUCAGGAUGAUUAUGAAGAUGAGCGAGUGCAAAUAAGACUGUAAAAGUCCACGAGCAGAAUGUUUGGAUGCUUUCUAAUGAUUCAUGAAUAUCAUGAGAGUGUUUGUGUGUUUUGUCUUUUCUUUGCUGACGUUUGUUACUAACAAAGACAAUUUACGCUCUGUGUGUGUUUUCAUCCUUACCAGCCGCACUCUAACUGCAAUGAAGGAAACAAAC